UAGGUCGAGAGUAAUGAAAGAACUUACUGAUCAGUAGCCAUUCUUGCAGGGAAUUUGGUGGAAAGUAGAAAUUUUACUAUUAACUAUUUAAGAUUCUAAAUUUCUUAUCAAAUGCAGGCAUAAAAUCUGCUAAUUGACUAAAGUUGAAGCAUACUAGACUUUUGAAGAAAUAAAUGAUAUUGUGGAAUAGAUAAUUAUUCCUAGAAUAUUCAAUGUUUUGCCACACACGACAACAAGGGGAAACCAGUUCGUUACUGGUGCCAAGAGUGGUACUCAACAGUACCGCAGGUAUGAAUCGAUCUGUACGAUUUUCAUGUAAUAGACAUCGACAUCGGAAAAA